ACACCCAUGCGUGUAGCUGCGAGGCGACAGAGGAGUGUGUCCAAGCUCUGCCGCUGGUCAGGGGCUGGGUUGCAGCAGCUUUCAGACUCGCAUUGCACGGCGAUAUGGAGGAGUUCCACUCCUGUUCGCUCACACAGCGGAUACUUUAUCUUCAUUGAACACUUGUAGACUGUUAACCCGAAAGUUCAUUCUAUGCAAACAGUUUGAGUAAAUACCACUUUUAAAAAUGAGUUUUAUCACAUUACUUAAACAGUAUGAGUAUAUGAAGAGUGUAUGAGACAGUCAUUGGGUGUACUCAUUUUUUGUAAGUUGACCAAACUUAAACUAUCAAGUUUUAGUCUCAGGUCACAGUGCUGCCCUGUUGUGAUUGGCUCAAAACUCAAGACAAGUCUGGGCUUGUCCGUUGGAGGUUACAGAGAAAGUUGUGCCAUUUUCCAAUUUUCACAGAGCAAUUUAAGGUCAUUGCACUUUGCAUGUUCCUUGGACAAUACAUUUCUGCCUGCAUUCUUCUGUUUUUAGCAAGUUUGGAUGCUUUUAAAGGACAUUUGCCUGCCAUAAAGAGGAUACCAUUUUCUGCCUGAAUGAGGUGUACUUGGAGUUGAACAGGGUUGCUGGUAGAAAUCUUAAAGAAGAGUUCUUUGGGGUUCUUGAUGGUUUGUGUCCAAGCUUGAUGGAAAUCUUCAAGAGGAAGACAGGUCGGACAGGCAAGCAGUUAGCUGACCUGCUACAACAAACAACCAGCACUGAGCCAACAGCCAUUAGAUGCCUUGUCCUGAGAGGACUUCCAGUCAUUCUUGGGGAAGAUGCAUCUAUGUUCUUUAAGAGCAGUUUGUGCACCUCAGCCGGCGUGGGCGGAGACGCCGGAGCGCACCUGCGGGCAAUCAGCAAUCUGGACUCCUCUUAAGCAAGGCAGCAGCAUCUGUUCAGUGCCAGAUUGUACUUCCUGACCUCCUGUUCCUUGCUCCCGCUCAGUCCGGCUCCAUUACCCUUACCCUGCUUUGUGGCCUGUUACCUGUGCUUAUACUUACCUGCUCUGUACUACCUUAGCGUUUCCUGUUGGUUUGCCUUCAGUGUUUUUUGUUACUACUUCUAGUUUUUUCCUGACAGCCUUCUGCUGUCAGUGUUUUUUGUUUCUUACCCGUAGUGGAUUUUCCUUUGUUUGUACUUUGCCUGUUUGGACUCUUUUUGUUAUUAAACUUUAUUUUUGUAUUUCGAAGUUGCCCUAGUCUUGCGUUGGGAUCCUAUUUUCCUGCUGUGGCAUCCGCCACUCCUGACAUUUCCUGUUAGCAAGAGGAAAUUAAUUACUGCAUUUUGUACUGCAAAUUAUGUAAAAAUUCAAAGGGCUUGGAUAGUGUCUUGAUUCUGCAAAAACAAAAAACCUAAUCCACUGCGGGGCUGCUGCUGGAACUUCCAGUCAAUGCGUAGCUUGUGGCGGCUCCACUGAAUGAACAAACAAUCCAAACAUCUCCAAUGUAUUUCUAAUAUUGCCUUUAUUGAUCUACACACACUUAUCCCAAUAAUAACUUGAAUAGAGAAUAAACAAAAAGGCUCAAAUUAGGCCACGAAUACUCCGGUCAAAAAACUGUGUUCCUCUCCCUGAUCAGAAGAGUCACACUGUCCAAUACACCAACUACUGUCAAAAUAUGGGAUCUACACCAAAACAGACACCUAUACAUGAACACACAAAAAAUGACUAACAGCUAGUUUACACAACA